rnacentral:rRNA from 1 species
UACGUAGGGUGCGAGCGUUAAUCGGAAUUACUGGGCGUAAAGCGUGCGCAGGCGGUUUUGUAAGACAGAUGUGAAAUCCCCGGGCUUAACCUGGGAACUGCGUUCGUGACUGCAAGGCUAGAGUACGGCAGAGGGGGGUGGAAUUCCUGGUGUAGCAGUGAAAUGCGUAGAGAUCAGGAGGAACACCGAUGGCGAAGGCAGCCCCCUGGGCCUGUACUGACGCUCAUGCACGAAAGCGUGGGGAGCAAACAGGA